AUCCUUUUGUGGUUCAUAAGCAUGAUGAAUGGGUAUUCAUGUGUUUGUGUGAGAUGUGCCUCCCUUAAACCAUGUUAUGAUGUUGGCACAUUACCCAUCUGACA
rnacentral:snoRNA from 1 species